rnacentral:rRNA from 1 species
UACGUAGGGGGCAAGCGUUGUCCGGAUUUAUUGGGCGUAAAGAGCGUGUAGGCGGCCUGGAAGGUCAGCUGUGAAAACUCGAGGCUCAACCUCGAGACGUCGGUUGAAACCACCUGGCUAGAGUCCGGAAGAGGAGUGUGGAAUUCCCGGUGUAGCGGUGGAAUGCGCAGAUAUCGGGAGGAACACCCGUGGCGAAGGCGCCUGCCUGGCAGUGUAUUGACGCUGAGGUGCGAAAGUGCGGGGAGCAAACAGG